CGGUUUGUCGCGUCUGUCGUGAAAGUCCGGGGCUUAACCCCGGAUCUGCGGUGGGUACGGGCAGACUAGAGUGCAGUAGGGGAGACUGGAAUUCCUGGUGUAGCGGUGGAAUGCGCAGAUAUCAGGAGGAACACCGAUGGCGAAGGCAGGUCNUCUGGGCUGUAACUGACGCUGAGGAGCGAAAGCAUGGGGAGCGAACAGGAUUAGAUACCCUGGUAGUCCAUGCCGUAAACGUUGGGCACUAGGUGUGGGGACCAUUCCACGGUUUCCGCGCCGCAGCUAACGCAUUAAGUGCCCCGCCUGGGGAGUACGGCCGCAAGGCUAAACCUCAAAGGAAUUGACGGGGGCCCGCACAAGCGGCGGAGCAUGCGGAUUAAUUCGAUGCAACGCGAAGAACCUUACCAAGGCGUGACAUGUUCUCGAUCGCCGUAGAGAUACGGUUUCCCCUUUGGGGCGGGUUCACAGGUGGUGCAUGGUUGUCGUCAGCUCGUGUCGUGAGAUGUUGGGGUUAAGUCCCGCAACGAGCGCAACCCUCGUUCCAUGUUGCCAGCACGUAAUGGUGGGGACUCAUGGGAGACUGCCGGGGUCAACUCGGAGGAAGGUGAGGACGACGUCAAAUCAUCAUGCCCCUUAUGUCUUGGGCUUCACGCAUGCUACAAUGGCCGGUACAAUGGGUUGCGAUACUGUGAGGUGGAGCUAAUCCCAAAAAGCCGGUCUCAGUUCGGAUUGGGGUCUGCAACUCGACCCCAUGAAGUCGGAGUCACUAGUAA
rnacentral:rRNA from 1 species